UCAACAUGGAUUAGCUUCCAUUCUCAUGCAUACACAUGAUGCAUGCAUUCCAACAAGGAUCAAUAAACAAGUUUGUGGUUUGUGAAACUGUCUUCAAAUUCAAUAAAAGAAACUCCCUUUACGUACUAAUUGACAUAUAGACUUCAAAAUAUUACCAAGAUCCAUAAAUAUUUUUCUAUUCUCUUCUUGCCCACCUGGGCCAUCCCUAGUUGUUGGGUCAUCAUUUGGGCCUUUGUUGCUCGUUCUCACAAAAAUACCAAAGAGUUUCUCAAAGCUCCAUGAAUCCAUAUGGAAGAAGCUCUUUCUCUUCUGUGAAAUUUAUUAGCGAAACUCGGAGGGGUCAGGACAAGUAUCAACAAGAUAGGGGGAGAAGAAUCAAUAGAAACCAGAAAGAAAAAGAGAUUUGGAACCAAACCAAUUAACAAAGUAAAGAGUAAUUGUUGUGUUCUCAUCCACUCGCUCACUGCAAUCAAUCAAAUCUAUGGCUGCAACAGUUUCACUCUCUUUUUCCUUAGAUCCACAGCACCACCAUCUCUUUUCCAAAACAACCCAAUUCAAGCCUCACCAAACUCCCCUUCCCUUCUCUCCCCCAACCUCAACUCUUUGCCCCAAAUACCCACUUGCUAUUUUCCAUAAAUCACACCCUUCCUCUUUCAAAUCUUCCUCCUCUCCAUCUCAUUCUUCAACAACAACAACAACAACUGCUUCUGAUACAACUGCUACUGAUACAGCUACAACUACAAGCACAACUACAACAUCUUCGUCAUUUCUUGAAUACCCACUUAGAACAGGUCGAUUUCUGAGCAGUGAAGAGCUCGAGCAACUCAAAUUGCUUGAGAAUUUCAGGUAUUAUCAGGAAUUGGAAUCUGGGUCGAUGUGGGUUCGGGUGAUGAGGCCGGAGGAAAUGGACAUCACUGUUGGGUUGCUGGCUGAGUCGUUUGCAGAGUCGAUGCUUUUGCCUUCUGGAUAUGUCUCUGUGUUGGGCUACUUGGUCAAGCAAUACUUGUUUGAGCGGAUGGAGCUAUCGCCACACACGGCCACGCUUAUUGGGUUUUACAGAAGACGUAAAGAAGAGGGUGAAGAACAACAAGAAAAAAACACAGAAGAUGAAGAAGAAGUUGAUGAAGUUGAAUUUUUGGCGGGGACUGUGGAAGUUUGCUUUGACAAAAAGGGUGCCAACGCUUCUCCUCCUACACCCACUCCUCCCAAGAACUCGCCUUAUAUAAGCAACAUGGCGGUGAAGAAGUCGCUUAGGAGGAGGGGCAUCGGCUGGCAUCUUUUGAAGGCAAGCGAGGAACUUAUAUCUCAGAUGAGUUCCUCAAGAGAGGUGUACUUGCAUUGCAGAAUGAUUGAUACAGCUCCAUUCAACAUGUACAAAAGAGCAGGUUACGACAUUGUAAAGACGGAUAACAUUUUGGUUAUGUUGCUGUUGCAGAGGCGCAAGCACUUAAUGUGCAAGAAACUUCCAGUCUUAACCAGCAUUUCAGAAUCAGAUACAUUCUGUUCUGAUGAGGAAUUAACAUCAGAAAUGUAUAUGUGAAAAUCAUAAUACGUGUUUAUGAGGAUAGAUGAAUAGGGAGACCUUUGAGGUUGUGAAGAUUAUCCAGCUGGGUUGAAUUUUGCCAAGAAUGCUUGAUCCUAUGUGCCAGCAACUGUUGCUUGCAUUUUGUUAUGUGUAUGGUAGAGACUUGCUUUGUUGCAGAUCAUAGGUCCACAAGCUUUGAAGCUUCAACAACUCUUUUAUUAGAAGAAGUAAAGGAUCUCUAUUUUGUUGUACAUAGUCUUCACCCUCCAAUUAGAACAUGGCUUUAUUAGGAGCCAUGGCUGCUCCCAAGCCUUUCGCAUUUGUAUAGAUAAUCAGCUGGAGCUCUUUAACACAUUCUGCCAUGGAGGGUCUCUCACUGCUCUCACGACGUACGCAUCGUGAUGCCAGGUUUGCGAACAUAGCUAUAGAUUCCAUGGUGUAUGAACUUCGACCCAGCUCAGAAUCUAUCACCUUACGCAGUUUCUUCCGAUCAUUCAGUAUGUGCCUUACCUGAAACAAAUGAACUUG